rnacentral:rRNA from 1 species
GACGAACGCUGGCGGCGUGCUUAACACAUGCAAGUCGAACGGACGAGUGAGAUAAGUUUACUUAACUCACAAGUUAGUGGCGGACGGGUGAGUAACACGUGGAUAAUCUACCUGCAACACCGGGAUAACGCUGUGAAAACGGUGCUAAUACCGGAUACGUUCCCUUGUGCGCAUGUAUGAGGGAAGAAAGCUCAGGCGGUUGCAGAUGAGUCCGCGGCUGAUUAGCUAGUUGGUGAGGUAAAGGCUCACCAAGGCGAUGAUCAGUAGCCGGCCUGAGAGGGUGAACGGCCACACUGGGACUGAGACACGGCCCAGACUCCUACGGGAGGCAGCAGUGGGGAAUCUUCCGCAAUGGGCGCAAGCCUGACGGAGCAACGCCGCGUGGUGAAGAAGGCCUUCGGUGUAAGCCUGUCUUAUGGGAAGAAGUCAGUGACGGUACCAUAGGAGGAAGCCACGGCUAACUACGUGCCAGCAGCCGCGGUAAAAGUCACGG